rnacentral:lncRNA from 1 species
ACUCCUCAUCCUCGCGAACCCUACCUAGCCACUCGUCGCCUCCUCCCCUUCCAGAUCGCCGCCGCCACCUCCUUCCCCACCCCCUCCCCGCACUCGCAGCGGCUCCCACCCUCCCCGCACCCGCGCACGGCGCCGUUGGCUCCUCCACCUCCAGGCGACGCCGAGCCCGCGGUCUCCUUCCCCAAGAUCGCGCCGGAGCCCGCGGUCCUCCUCCACCUAUAGCUCGUCUCCUCUCCGGUCGCGCCGCCGACCUGUUCGUGGCCGAGCUUCGGCGAGCUGAGCAGCAGAGCUCUGACGGCUCCUCUUCUCCCCUUGCAGCCGCCUGCCGCGCCAACCUCCCUCCCUCCCUCCUCGCCAAUGAAACCCUAGCCAGCAGCCAUGGCUAGGGUUUGUGCAGUUUCUCCCCAUCCGAUCUGGCGAGUCUCCCUCCUCCUCCCCCGCUCCCUGAACCUUAGCCACUCCAAACCCCUGACCCCUUCUUGUCUCGUCUCUGCAGGUAGACCGCGCCGGCAAGCGACCAGGACGACGCCCGAAGAGGAGAGUAGGGCCUUCUCCUCACCGUGUAGCCACCGACCUUGUCCUGCUCGAGGAAGAGGAGCAGGAGGGGCGCACCCAGCCACCACAGUCGCCGCCGUCAAGGGCUUCUUCCACCUAGACCUGUAAAUCCACGGCGCCGUCGUCCAGCCACCCAAGGUGAAGGUGCCCCCAACUCCCCUCCGCCCCCUCUCCCCUCCUUGUUUCAUUCGAUCUAGCAGCCAUGGAUUUGGGUUCCUCAAGGCUGCCUAAUUACUCUCCAAAAACCAUGUGUUCCUACUACUAGCUCUAGUCGUGGAUGCUGGGUAGCUCCCUGUUUUCUCUGUUUUUAUGUAAUCCUAGAUAGAACCAUACAACUGUGGAUGACAAACACUGCAAUUUAAUCUAAAAUUGUCAUCAUCAUCCUAGCAAAUACUCCUGAAAUUACUGUAAAUUGUUGGACGAUUAUGGGCUAGUGUAGAUGCAAAAUAAGGUUGCACCUUUAGAGGAGAUAUGACACUGAUGUUGGAUGCUUGGUAGUUGUCUUGUGUUGUCUGCAUGUCGGUACUAGCAGUAUGUCCAUGAGCACCGUGCUGGUGUUAGUCGCAAUGAUCAGCUUCAAUAGCAUGACCAGUACCUGAACAUGAUGCAUAUUUAUUAACAAAAAUGGUAAUGCAUUUUGCUCAUACCAGGGUGCUCGAUUUAGUCUGUUGCGAAUGCUAAUAGACCAUGAUAACUUGUAUAUUGGACCUGCCCCCUCUCUCUGUUUGACUCGCUCAAUCUCUCUCUAUCUUUCUGCAGGCGCUGCCGGAUUAGAACUAUACGGCUUAGCGGGUGGCCCUAUUUUGCCAUCGGGACAGGAGCUCUCAUCACUGACCCCUCUUCUCCACUACACGUGUUCAACAGAAAUUGUUUUAGUUUGUCAUACAUAAUUGACUAUGCUUAUGUUGGUUGUUAUUGAGUGUAUAAUUCAUUAUAUUAAUUAUUUGUUUUGAAGUAUAACUGAAACUUCAUAUAUGUAUUUACAUUCAUGGAAAGCAUAUAAUCAAUAUCUGGUCUGAUGAUUUAUGUACUGUUAUCUCAAAUAGAAAAGCAUAUAACAGUAGCAGUAGCACAAAUUUAACUGAAUUCAAUUAAAAUUUCCAGAAUCUCUUCUUGAUCUGUAAUGUUUUAGUGCAACAAAGUCAUACCGAGUGAGGUCCAUGUGGUGCUCUGAGAUGCUCUUGAUGGUUUGUUGUCAAGACUGAUAUCCCAUGUAUGUCAUGAUGCUGCUAGCUUGUUUCAGUCCAGUAUCUCUUCUUGAUAGUCUUGUUAACAUAAUUGAGUCCAGUAACUCUAAUUAAUUAACUGAAU